GACGUAGGGUGCGAGCGUUGUCCGGAUUUAUUGGGCGUAAAGAGCUCGUAGGCGGCUCGUCGCGUCGACCGUGAAAACCCGCAGCUUAACUGCGGGCUUGCGGUUGAUACGGGCGGGCUAGAGUUCGGUAGGGGAGACUGGAAUUCCUGGUGUAGCGGUGAAAUGCGCAGAUAUCAGGAGGAACACCGGUGGCGAAGGCGGUUCUCUGGGCCUGUACUGACGCUGAGGAACGAAAGCGUGGGGAGCGAACAGG
rnacentral:rRNA from 1 species